GGUGGCGGCCAGCGCUGCCAGUUCACCUGCAGCGACGGUGGAUUGCGGUUCGUGCGCCUGUCUUUCCUUGACAAGUGUGUCUCUGCAGUGCAUUCGAAUGCGUGCGGCUCGAUUCAAGCGAGCAUGGUACAAUCCUGCGUAGCGUAUGGGUGCACAAAUCGCGCGAUUCCUGCUUCCAAGAUCACAUUUCACAGGUUUCCAAAAGAUGCUGAGACACGGAACCUAUGGGAGCGAGCUGUGCGUCGUGAACACUGGAAACCGACAGAUAAAGAUCGCCUUUGCUCUGCGCACUUUGAUCCGGCGUGUUUUGACCGGACCGGACAAACAACAAGGUUGAAAGCGGGAAGUGUGCCGACUUCGUUCGCUGCUUUUCCUGCCCACCUCCAGGCACCGGUGAAAAGGAAGCGGCCAGCACCAAAACC